CAGCAGCCGCGGUAAAACGGAGGGUGCAAGCGUUAAUCGGAAUUACUGGGCGUAAAGCGCACGCAGGCGGUCUGACAAGUCAGAUGUGAAAUCCCCGGGCUUAACCUGGGAACUGCAUUUGAAACUGUCAGGCUGGAGUCUUGUAGAGGGGGGUAGAAUUCCAGGUGUAGCGGUGAAAUGCGUAGAGAUCUGGAGGAAUACCGGUGGCGAAGGCGGCCCCCUGGACAAAGACUGACGCUCAGGUGCGAAAGCGUGGGGAGCAAACAGGAUUAGAUACCCGCGUAGUCCCUGUCUCUUAUAC
rnacentral:rRNA from 1 species